UACCAGACGAGCCGCGAGGCUCCCUGACACCACUGUGAACCGUACCCGUACGUUUGUUGCUCCGGCGGGCGUCCCCUGGGAGGGGACGCCGCGGCCCGCCUGCAGGGCGCCCGCCGGGCGACGAGACCCAAACCCUUGCCUUCUAGUGAGCCUCUGAGUGGACAAAAAAAUCAGUCAAAACUUUCAACAACGGAUCUCUUGGUUCUGGCAUCGAUGAAGAACGCAGCGAAAUGCGAUACGUAAUGUGAAUUGCAGAAUUCAGUGAAUCAUCGAAUCUUUGAACGCACAUUGCGCCCGCCAGCACUCUGGCGGGCAUGCCUGUCCGAGCGUCAUUUCAACCCCUCAGGCCGGGCGGCCGCCAGACCGGCGGCCCCCCCGCGCCUGGUGUUGGGGCGCUGCGAGCCCACCGCGGCCCGCAGGCCCCCAAAGACAUCGGCGGGCCCGCGCGGGGCCCCGAGCGCAGUAGACACACCUCUCGCUCCGGGACCCCGGCGGGCGCCCAGCCGCCCCCAACCCAGCUACAGAAAUGUUGACCUCGGAUCAGGUAGGAAUACCCGCUGAACUUAAGCAUAUCAAUAAGCGGAGGAAAAGAAACCAACAGGGAUUGCCCUAGUAACGGCGAGUGAAGCGGCAACAGCUCAAAUUUGAAAUCCGGCCC
rnacentral:rRNA from 1 species